rnacentral:rRNA from 1 species
UACGUAGGGGGCAAGCGUUGUCCGGAAUCAUUGGGCGUAAAGAGCGUGUAGGCGGCCUGGUAAGUCCGCUGUGAAAGUCCAGGGCUCAACCCUGGAAUGCCGGUGGAAACUGUCAGGCUCGAGUCCGGAAGAGGCGAGUGGAAUUCCUGGUGUAGCGGUGAAAUGCGCAGAUAUCGGGAGGAACACCAGUGGCGAAGGCGACUACCUGGACCAGCACUGACACUGAGGCACGAAAGCGUGGGGAGCAAACAGG